rfam:Oryza nivara chromosome 8, whole genome shotgun sequence.
AAUAAGUGCAGUUUUGCACUGUUCAUAUCCAACGUUUGACCAUUCAUCUUAUUUGAAAGAUUUUUUUAUGAUUAGUAUUUUUGUUGUUAUUAGAUGAUAAAAUAUGAAUAAUAUUUUAUGUGCGAUUAAUUUUUAACUUUUUUAUAAAUUUUUUAAAUAAGACGGACAGUUAAACGUUGGACACGGAUAUUCAGGACUGCGCUUAUU